rnacentral:rRNA from 1 species
UACGUAGGCAGCAAGCGUUUGUUCGGAGUUACUGGGCGUAAAGGGUGUGUAGGCGGUUGUUUAAGUUUGGUGUGAAAUCUCCCGGCUCAACUGGGAGGGUGCGCCGAAUACUGAAUGACUCGAGUGCGGGGAGAAGGAAAGUGGAAUUCCUGGUGUAGCGGUGAAAUGCGUAGAUAUCAGGAGGAACACCGGUGGUGUAGACGGCUUUCUGGACCGUAACUGACGCUGGAGACACGAAAGCGUGGGUAGCAAACAGG